UGAUGCUCCACGCCCGCUUUUUGGAACCACUGAGAAUGCAAUUCCAAGAACUGUUGAACAAGCACUUCCUAGAACUACCAACCAAGUGAAAUUCCACCAAAGAGAUGUUUGAGUAGGUAGAUUCAAAUCAAAAACAACAGAUCCAAAAAACAAAAGUAAAGCUGUUUGAAUAAUCAUUAAAAACGUAACCAACAAAGCUUUGCCGAUAAAGUAAGAGGAGACUGACAUCGGAGUGCCUCUUAAUCGCUUUAGUGUUCCAUCAUCUCGCUCCAUUGGAAUAGUAAUUGCUAACUGUUGAAAGCCAGUAUUAACUAAACCAGAGGCGAAGGCGCUCUGCUGGGCCGAAACUGACACUGAGAGACGAAAGCUGGGGGAGCGAAUAGGAUUAGAUACCCUAGUAGUCCACGCUGUCAACUAUGGAUGCUAGAUAUUGGGGAAACUCAGUGCCGAAGCUAACGCGAUAAGCAUCCCGCCUGGGUAGUACGUUCGCAAGAAUAAAACUUAAAGGAAUUGACGGGAGCCCGCACAAGCAGUGGAGCAUGUGGUUUAAUUCGACGCUACUCGAAGAACCUCACCAGGACUUGACAUCUGGUUAAAUACCCUAGAGAUAGGGGGAUAGUCAUAGCCAAGACAGGUGGUGCAUGGUUGUCGUCAGCUCGUGUCGUGAGAUGUUGGGUUAAGUCCCGCAACGAGCGCAACCCUCGUCCUUAUUUGCCAUCAUUAAGUUGGGAACUAUAGGGAGACUGCCGAUGUAAAUCGGAGGAAGGUGGGGAUGACGUCAAAUCAUCAUGCCCUUUAUGUCCUGGGCCACACACGUGCUACAAUGGCCGAUACAAAGAGUCGCUAACCCGUAAGGAUCAGCAAAUCUCAAAAAAUCGGUCUCAGUUCAGAUUGAGGUCUGCAACUCGACCUCAUGAAGCUGGAAUUGCUAGUAAUCGCAAAUCAGCGAUGUUGCGGUGAAUACGUUCUCGGGCUUUGUACACACUGCCCGUCAAACCAUGAGAGCUGGUAAUACUUGAAGCCGUUAUCCUAACCGCAAGGGGGGAGACGUCUAAGGUAGGAUCGGUGAUUGGGGUUAUCGUGACUGGGA
rnacentral:rRNA from 1 species